GAUGAAGAACGCAGCGAAAUGCGAUAAGUAGAGUGAAUUGCAGAAUUCAGUGAAUCAUCGAAUCUUUGAACGCACAUUGCGCCCCUUGGUAUUCCAUGGGGCAUGCCUGUUCGAGCGUCAUUUGUACCUUCAAGCUCUGCUUGGUGUUGGGUGUUUGUCUCGCCUCUGCGUGUAGACUCGCCUCAAAACAAUUGGCAGCCGGCGUAUUGAUUUCGGAGCGCAGUACAUCUCGCGCUUUGCACUCAUAACGACGACGUCCAAAAGUACAUUUUUACACUCUUGACCUCGGAUCAGGUAGGGAUACCCGCUGAACUUAAGCAUAUCAAUAAGCGGAGGA
rnacentral:misc_RNA from 1 species